rnacentral:rRNA from 1 species
UGCAGUCGAACGGACGUUUAGCUUUUUCGAACAUUAGUGGCGAAAGGGUGAGUAACACGUGGGAUACCUACCCUAGGGUUCGGGAUAACCUGUCGAAAGACGGGCUAAUACCGGAUACGUCUCGUGCUUUUCGAAGUACGAGAGAAAGAUGGGGACUCCGCAAGGAACCUGUCGACCUUGGAUGGGCCCGCGGCCUAUCAGCUAGUUGGUGAGGUAAUGGCUCACCAAGGCUAAGACGGGUAGCUGGUCUGAGAGGAUGGUCAGCCACACUGGGACUGAGACACUGCCCAGACUCCUACGGGAGGCUGCAGUCGAGAAUCUUUCGCAAUGGGGGAAACCCUGACGAAGCGACGCCGCGUGCAGGAUGAAGGCCUUCGGGUUGUAAACUGCUGUCGGCUGGGAAGAAAAAGUUAUCGAUUAAUAAUCGGUAGCUCUGACGGUACCAGCAAAGGAAGCCACGGCUAACUCUGUGCCAGCAGCCGCGGUAAUACAGAGGUGGCAAGCGUUGUUCGGAUUUAUUGGGCGUAAAGGGUCCGUAGGCGGUUUGAAAAGUCGGAUGUGAAAUCCCACAGCUCAACUGUGGAACUGCAUUCGAAACUUUCAGACUUGAGUAUGAGAGGGGUAAAGGGAAUUCCCGGUGUAAGGGUGAAAUCUGCAGAGAUCGGGAGGAACACCAGUCGCGAAGGCGCUUUACUGGCUCAUUACUGACGCUCAGGGACGAAAGCUAGGGUAGCAAACGGGAUUAGAUACCCCGGUAGUCCUAGCCGUAAACUAUGGUCACUAGG